UUGCACCUUUUUUUUUUUUUUUUUUUUUUUUUUUUUUGGUCCUGGACCCGUCAAGAAAACAAUCUUCCGUUUUUUCCACUUUAAAUAACUACCUCUAUUGGGGAGGGCUCUUUCUAGCGUUUUGGUGCUGAUGAUGGUGGUGGAAUGGGCGAGGGGGGCGAGCUCAGAACUUUGCCUGCCCUGGGAGGGUGGGAGGACCUGGGAGGGAGGAACAAAAGUGGUUUUGUCUGGUGAUGCCGAGUUGACCGGGCAGACUUGGAAGCUCUCACCCGGGAAGGCAGCGAACUGUUUGCUUGUUUACAGAGAAGGUGAGAGUCAAGUUAUCUAUUGAGAGGUGAAUGGGGUGGGGGAGUGCGUCUAUUUGUGGAUUUCAUAGAGGCAUGCUCGGAUCAAAUUCCAAAGCUUUGGUGUGGUGUUUAUUAGACAAGUUAAGUGUGUUGCAAAUUAAUACCCGCACUGGCAUUUAUGAAUGAGAAGAGGGAAAAAAAAAAUCAACUCCCCCCCACUGUCUGGCAGAUUCCCAGGCAGAGGUCUUCCCCCUUCCGCCCCCCUCCCUUUUUUGGUAUGUCGUACUUGUUUGUUUUUGGAGGUUCCCACUUAAGUUCCAGCCCACUGCCUGGGUUGGAAGUCCGAGAGGAAACGAACGCAGGGAAUUCUCUGGGAGACUGACUUCUACUUCCUCACGGAUGCGGGAGACUGGUAAACGACAGCAUCAGAGGAGAGGAACUGCAGCUCCUCAUGUCCUGCUUAAGGAUGGUCCAGAAACCCCAGAUGUCCUGUCGCCUUUUCGCCUCCUCCACUGAGAGCAGCAGAUCAGUUCACGUUGACAGAUUAGAGGGGAAAUGUGCAAUUGUUUAUGGCUUCAGCUGUACAUAAAGGAGCCCUGGUAGCUUCUGCUGAGACUUUUCAGUAGAAAAUCCUUCAAAAAAGAAAAAAGAAAGAAAGAAGCAGCUAUUUUGAAGACUGACUUUCUAAAAUUAUAUUUAGCCUUCCAAUAGACACCAGAUCGCAGAUGCCCCGUCCCAAACAUAAAUCCCCUCCUGUUUACCAAUCCCUCAAAACCUUCAUGACCUUCAUAUAUAACGGGCAUUUUCAAGGAUCUGGCAAGACUGCCGGUUUGGUAAUGCAAGGCAGAAGAUAGUUUUCUCCAUGCCACGGGGAGCAUGGCUUCUAGUUGCUUUGGUCUUUCAUCUCAUCCUAGCAGCCCUUCUACCAUCAAAGAAAGAAGAUUUCUUCCCCUUUGGCUCCAUCCUAUAAACAGUCUCAAGAAUGACUUACACUGGAUCAGCAGAGGUUGCAUACUCCUUCCCCAACCAGACACCAAGCCAGGAAGAUGGGGUAAUAUCCCAAUGUAUUAGCUAGAGAGUAAAAACUUAAAUUUAUUUCUUAACAUGCGUGCCUUUUAAUAGAGAGACUUGUAAACACUUGGGUACUGUCUUACAAAAAGCAGAACUCUCUAAAAAGGGUGACUGGAGGCUGACGCAGAUCGACAUCCUGUUGUAUGAGAAAGUCCUGGGGGAAUUUACUCCUCUAACAGCUUGCUUAAUGUUUUUGCUUCCUGUGGAGUGGGCUGGGGUGGGAAUUUAAAGCAGACUUCUAAAUUGAGUUCUGCAGUGGAGGAACUUCUCUUAAAAUCUCUGCUGGAGUUACUUAAGACAUUGAACUGUCGGGGUGCUUAAAUGACUCAGUCAUUUAAGCGUCUAACUCUUGAUUUUGGCUCAGGUCAUGAUCUCAGGGUCCUGGGACUGAGCCCCAUGUUGGGCUCCAUGCUCAGUGGGGUCUGCUUGAAGUUCCUCUCCCUCUACCCCUCCCCUGCCUGUCUUCCUCAAAUAAAUUAAUUAAUUAAAAAAAAAAAAAAAAGACAUUGAGCUGUUUGCUCUUGGUCCCAGUACUUCAGUGUCCUCUCACUGUUACAUUUGUGGGAGGACAUGGUAUUAUAUUAGAGAUCUGGAGAGCUUGUGACUGGGUGCAGAUCCAGUGUUUUGACUUUUUAUGCCAACAUCAGCAUUUCCCCCACUUGUUUCACAUUUCUCUUGUCAGCUGGGCCCUCAGUUCAAGGUUACCUUGAUUACUUUCUGGUCUUUUUAUUUUUAUUUAUUUUUAAAGAUUUUAUUUAUUUGUUUGACAAUCAGAGAUCACAAGUAGGCAGAGAGGCAGGCAGAGAGAGAGGGGGAAACAGGCUCCCCACUGAGCAGAGAGUGGCUUCAACCCACUGAGCCACCCAGUGGCCCCACUUUCAGGUCUUUUUAAUCAAAAAUCUUUCUUAGCUAUUUUUACUUAAUGUUGUCUCUUACCUGAUAUAGUUUUUGGAAUAUACAGGUGAGGUUUGGUGGGGCCUGGAGCCCACAGCCAAGAAAGAAAUCUUUUUUUAAAAAAUUUUAUUUAUUUGACAGACAGAGAUCACAAGUAGGCAGAGAGGCAGGCAGAGAGAGAGAGAGAAGCAGGCUCCCUCCUGAGCAGAGAGCCCAAUGUGGGGCUCGAUCCCAGGACUCUGGGAUCAUGACCUGAGCCGAAGGCAGAGGCUUUAACCCACUGAGCCACCCAGGUGCCCCACGAAAGAAUUCUUGAGAUGACUUCAGUGCACAGUGGUGGUUUCAUUAAAGCACAGGGACAGGACCUGUGGGCAGAAAGAGCUGCUGCUACCCCACGCCCACCCCGCUUCCUUGCUCCCCCACUGCCCCCAGGCAUAUGAAGGACAGCUGAUUAUAUACUUUGGGGCUGGAGAAUUAAAGAUAAAGGAACUUCCAAAAGGCUUUCAUGCGCUAAAGAAGACACAGGAUGCAGGAGGCCUUACUAUUGUCAAACUAAGAUGGUUUUUCCCUCUAGCAAAGAAUUAACAUUAAGACAUUAUACUCUGCUGCCUCAAGUAUUUGUCAAUGGGCUGCAGGUUACAUGGACAUUUAAUUUGAUCUACAUUUCCUUCUGCCUUUGUUUCCCACAUCAUUACCCAUUACUCUUUUCUAGCACUAAAUUCUUUCCUCUCUCACCUCCCUAAGAAACUAACACCAUCCAAUACUCCAACUUCUAUUUACAUCUUGGAUCACCUCUCUCCACUGCUUCUUUCUCCACAUAUCUACCUACAGUUCUAUCCCCUAAUGAUAUCAUCAAAAGAGGGAAUAUAUGUGGAAGUACUCUAUGUUCUUAAAGUGGAAUAAAAAUAUGAAAUAACAUUGUUUUCCUAUCUUCACAAUCAUCUCAAAAGAUUAUCAAUGUAAUGCAUUUUUUUAGUUUACUUUCUCACUAUUCAACUCAUUACUUAAUGUCUUAAAAUCUGAUGUCUCUUAACCUAUUUGGGGAGAGGGGUGUCCAUAUCUUUGUUGACCCUUCUUCCAGCACAUGGCACAUUUGACUUUGCCCUCCUCUUUUGGUGUUUGCAACUCACUGCCUUGGUUCACUUUCUGUUUCUCUGACUACUCUUCUCUCUCUUUUAAUGCCCAUCUGUUUCCUUCUACCUCUGAAUGUGAGUGAUCUCCAUUAUUCUGCCCUGGUUCCUUCUCACUACACCCCUUCUCUCUUGUUCUCAUAAGUACUACUUCUUCUUUUUUUCUUUUUUCUUUUUUUUUUAAGAUUUUAUUUAUUUAUUUGACAGAGAUCACAAGUAGACAGAGAGGCAGGCAGAGAGAGAGGGGGAAGCAGGUUCCCCGCUGUGUGGAGAGCCCGAUGCGGGGCUUGAUCCCAGGACCCUGAGACCAUGACCUGAGCCAAAGGUAGAGGCUUUAACCCACUGAGCAACCCAGGCACCCCGCUCAUAAGUCCUUCUUGAAAAAAUCCCAAAUCUCUCUCUUCCCUUCAAUGUGUUAAAUGUCUGCUGAUAAUGAUCUCAUUAGCCCCCAAACAUAAGGUAUAUAAAAUAAGCUCUCACCCCAUCCUAAAUACCUUCUACUCUAUCUCAGCCAACAGUGUCACUUUUUCUACCCACUCCCCUAGGCUUGAAACCUUGGUUCCCUCUUUGAUUCCUUGCUCUUUUAUCCGUGAUUCCAAUUUAAGCUAUACUUUUAAGAACAUGUUGUUCUGUUCACCUACCUUCUGUUCACUGUCUCUCCCUUCUGCCUUCUCUUUCUUCAGGCCAGGAUAGUUCAGGCUGCUGGAAUAGCACUCAGUCUAUUAUUCUGCUUUUAGUAAGGUUGUCCAAAAGUAUUUUGUGGCCAUACUUUUGUUUUUUCUCUUCCUCAUUCUUGAUUCUUUCCCUCUUCUGAACUGAAUAAUGACUUGAACUUUAUUCAUAAAGAUCACUAAAUCUUCUACACAAAUACCUUUCUCAAAACCAAAAUAUACACUAACAUGUUUAGAAUGGCCUAUAUAACCUGUAUAGUUAGGUAACGGUCAGAUGUAAGCUGAGCGUUGACUAUAAGCAUUGACCUUAAAAAAUACAUUUCAUAGCUAUGUGUUUCAUUGAUGUAAUUUGCACCUUCAAGUGAAUAACUUCAUAUGAGGAUAACAUUUCAACCAUAUUUGAUUUAGAAAGCUAAAGUUCUUUUUUUAAGAUUUUAUUUAUUUAUUUGACAGACAGAGAUCACAAGUAGGCAGAGAGGCAGGCAGAGAGAGAGGAAGGGAAGCAGGCUCCCUGCUGAGCAGAAAGCCCGGUGUAGGGCUCGAUCCCGGGACUCUGGGAUCAUGACCUGAGCCGAAGGCAGAGGCUUAACCCACUGAGCCACCCAGGUGUCCCGAAAGCUAAAGUUUUGAGGAUCUACUGAUGGGCUAACAAAUGUGCAUUAAGCAUAUUAUUUAAGUUUUGAUACAUCUCCAACAGUCAUCAGCAUAUAAUUCCAGUUUAGAUGUGAACUCAUCAGAAAUAUCAUCCCAGUCUCUAGGGCUCAUGUCGUCUUACUGUAUUUCUGCAGAUCCUAUUAAUAAAGAAUGAUUAAGGACAGCUUUGUUUUUCCCAGUUGCAAUAUUAAAGAUGUAUGUUGUAAUAGUAGCAUACUGUGCAGCUAUAAAAAAAAUAAACUAGAGAGGUUCUUUAUAUGCUUAUAUGGAAAGAUAUGCUUGUAUGGAAAGAUCUCUGUUAUAAACUGAAUGUUUGUGUCCCCCAAUGCAAUUUCUUAUGUUGAAGACUUAAUCCCCAAUGCUAUGGUAUUUGGGGACUAACUAGGGUUAGAUAUGGUCAUGAAGGUGGGAUCCCUGCUCUUAUAAUAAGAGACACUGGAAGAACUACUGUCUCUUUCUGCCUAGUGAGGACACUGUGAGAAGGAACCCUCAGCAAGCCAGGAAGAGAGCUCUCACCAGAACCCAACCACGGCUGGCACCCUGACUUCAGAUUUCCAGUCUGCAGAAAUGUGAAAAAAUAAAUUUCUGUUGUUUAAGCCAUCUAAUCUAUGGGGUUUUGGUAUGGCAGCUCAAGCUGAUUAAUACAAUCUCCAAGAUUUACUUUUAGAUAGGGGUAAAAACCAGUCAAAAUAGUGUACCAUUGGGGUGGAAAAAAACUGAAAAGUAUCUAUCCUUGUACUGGCUUGUGUAUACUUUCUAAAACUCUUGAGACUGAAUGAGAAACUAAUAAUGUUGGUUACUUGUUUUGGGAACUUGGCAAAUAGAGGGCAGGAGUGGAAAGAAGACAUUGAUACAUAUAUAUCUUUCUGUAUUUCUUGAUACUUGGACUAUGUGAAUGUGCCACCACUUCAAAAAUUAAGUAAGUGAAAUUUAUUUAAAAAAUAACAAAUCCAUUCGGAAAAACAAGAUUAUAUUGAAACAAGGAAAAUAUUGAUUAUGUUGAAAGAAAAUUGCUGAUUGGGAGAAUAAUUAUGACAAAAGUUGACAUUUGAGGA